GGGCCUACAUCGCGUCUUCCCUUCACAUUUGCCCUCUCGGAGCCUGGCAGUGCCCCGAGGAGUCAACACAGGGGGAUAGAGAGCCUUCCUCACAUAAACACAGCGCGGAGCCGCCCCUCCGUCCUGCAUCCUGUCGUGAGGCACAAGCGUCCCUUCCCUCCGCCCCACGGCUCCUUCCAUCCCCUCCCGUGCUGACUUCUCUCUGCUUCCCCAGCUCCGGCGCGAGGUCCCCACGAGGUCUCCCGAUGCCCUCCGGGGUUCUGCCCAGCUGGUCGCUCCCCGUCCCGGCGGCCGCUGCCACGGCCGUGCUGGGGCUGGAGCCUCGCUUGCCGAUGCCGGAGUCACUUAGUGAUUUUGUGAUCGAAGCAGGCUAGAAAUGGAUGAUCACACCUAAACUGAAAGUAGUCCUCAGGAUUCCUUAGGAAUGAAUAAUACCUUCUGUUAAGAAGAGUUCAAGUGUGUUGGUGCUCCUUGACUGUCUAGAAUAUGCCUCAUGAGAUAGAGAUAAACGAUAUGGAGUCAAAAGAGUUCCUUGUAAAUUGAUUGGUCUUCCAGACUUGCUCUGGACCAGAAUGUGUGCUAAUUGUGUGGGCAAGGAAAAUCUUGUCCUGGGAAAUGUAAUCUUUAUGGAGAAAUGCCCUUGAUUAAAGACUUGAAGAUAUUGGAUUCUCAUUCCCCCCAGUAACUGAAAAGAGAGAAAUGGCAACAAAGGACGCACAGAAGCCUGAGGUACUCAACAAGUUCUUUGCCUCAGUCAUCCCUGGCUGUCAGGCUUCUCAUGUCCCUUGUGUCCUUGAAUCUCUUGGUGGGUACUGGGGGAGCAAAAUCCCUCCUACUGUAAGCAAAGACUUGGUAAGAUAGACUCAGUAUUACUAUUGUUACUCAGGAUAAAAACAGGAAGUUAUGAAAUAGCAAUAAUUCACUGAUAUUCAAGAUUAAACUGCAGAAACUGCAAUGAAAGAACAGAUCACUUAUCUAGAAAGGAAAAAAUCAUAAUUCUUAAAGAAAAAAGCAAAGGUAAAUUAUUAGUCAAAUUGUAAGCUGAACAAGAUCAGAAGUGAGUUCAGGUUAGCAGAAGUGAAGAUUUGUGAGAAAUGGAACAAGUAACCCCACUUCAUAUAACCCAGCCCCUUCAGGCUGUGCAGCACAGGAGAGGUGAGCUGCUGUGACAACAAGGAGGCACAGCUGAGGACAGGAUCUCAAAUGUUGUUAGACAUUACUAUUAUGAAUAGCAAACUCAGAAAGACAACCAAGUUUUGUAGACAAGUGAUGGGACCUGUCCUUGCUCUGCUCAAGUAAAAUAGUGCAGUUUCAUGCUGAUUUACACCUCUGGAGACGUGGUCCUGCCUUUGUGCUAGCAUGCUUAUCACUGUGCUGGUUUACAGAUCCCAGUGGCCUCCUGCCUAAGAAUGGCUUGAAUCCUCAGUUUUGGAAGUUUCAAAGUUACCUUGAUUUGAGCAGUCCUUUCAGCUCCUAAUUCGUAGGUCCGAAGUCAGCGAGAGCUGAGAGCAGCCCUUCCAUCAUCCUAUAGUUUACAUGGGAUGACAUCUUUUAAUAAAAUACGCAACAACUCUAAUAAUUUUCUUUAAAAUGAUAGUACUUUAUAACUUCUUCCUCUUAAAGAAGAAUUACAUGGCAGCAGUUACUCACCAUGUAGCAAAUGCUGUGCCUGCAGUUCAUAAAGUGACAGCAGCACUAUUACUCAUGGUACUGUGAAGCAGUUUGAGAUGCAUGGGGCAUUUCAGAAGGUAAAUAUUCUCUGUUUUUCUUUACCAUUUUGUUUCAUAUCAUGCCAAUAACUUGACAUGCACACAGAGCACUUGUCUGAUAGCUGAUUCAGUAAUCAAUUAAUAGUCAUUAUUCAAAUCAAAAGGAAAACUCUCAGCCGCUUUCAAAUAAAUAAAAAUACUCAUGUUCUCAGUGUUUUACGAUAAUUUCUUGGCACACAUUUUUUUCCUUAGUGAUUUCCUAACAUCAUUCUCCAGGUCAAACCAAGAGCACAGAGCAGACAUACCUCAAUCAGGAUGGCUUGGAUCACAUCCUUGUCUCAUCUGCACCUUAACACAGUUUCCAGGAGGAUCUGUUCCCUGAUCUCCCAGACGCAGAGCUGAGGCUUACUGGCUGGUAGUUCCCCAGCUCUUCCCUUCUAUCUUAAAAAUGAGAAGGAUGUUUCCCUUUUUAUAGUCACUGGGGACUUUACCUGACAGCCACAGCAUUGUGAAUAUGAGUGAGUGAGGCUUGGCAACUGCCUCAUUUGGUUCCUUCAGGACCCUGGGAUGCGUGUCCUGGUCCCACAGACUUGUACAAAUUCAGUCUCAUCAUGUGGUCUGGAAUAAGGUUAUUUUAUAUCUUUCUGACAUUUUGUGUAUGUUUGUGUGACAGCAGAAAAAGUUCCUUAUAAUCUGAAAUAAACAUCUUGGACUUUGAAAUAGCA